GCCUGGCUGGCUCAGGUGGUAGAGCAUGUGACUCUUAAUCUUGGGGUCAUGAGUUCAAGCCCCACGUUGGGCA
rfam:Canis lupus familiaris chromosome 37, whole genome shotgun sequence.